rnacentral:misc_RNA from 1 species
AACUUUCGGCAAUGGAACACUUGGCUCUCGCAUCGAUGAAGAACGCAGCGAAAUGCGAUAAGUAAUGUGAAUUGCAGAAUUCAGUGAAUCAUCGAAUCUUUGAACGCACCUUGCACCCCGUGGCUUUCCACGGGGUACGCCCGUUCGAGUAUCACGUUAACACCUCGCCUCCGGUCCUUAACCUGACUGGAGAGCGGAUUUGGACGUUGCCGGCCGUGAGGUCGGCUCGUCUCGAAAUGCAUUAGCUGGAGUGCGGAGCGCCGCGCGACGUUGAUAAUUGUCUACGCCUCGCGAGCAUCGACCUCUGCUUCGAAUCGUCGCGGAUCGUGACAACUUUCUCAAAGUUUGAUCUCGAAUCGGGUGGGACUACCCGCUGAACUUAAGCAUAUCAAUAAGCGGAGGCU